rnacentral:lncRNA from 1 species
ACCAUAACUGGACAGUUCCUGUAUACCCGUCGGGAUAUGCUAGAUUUACCCACUGGGGUAGAGACUGAAAAGGGCUCUUCUAGGAUUUCGAGACUGACUCCGAAGUCAACAGCUAUAUAAGGAGUUACAAAGGACAAAAAAUCUCCUGGAUCUAUAAAAGCAUAAAUAUGUAAAUGAUAAAUUUGUAACGUACUAGUGACCACUUCAGGAG